AUUCUAAUGGCUUUAUGACUUCAUCCAUGCAAGUUAAACUGUCAGUUACUGUCAGUUAUCAGUUAUCAGAGUGAAGAUGCCUUCCAAGAGGAAGGGAGGGGCAUGUGGAAAACAACUAUUUACUGCCUCAAAGAUUAAUGCCUAAACUUGAACAAGUGAAUGGUAUGUUAAGAGCUGUCACACACCUCCAAAUCAAUGCAUUGAUGUUCUAAAGUAGUGGUGGAGGCAGACGAGCCCCCAGAUUUUAAAACAGAAGAGGUUUCGUAGACGUAAGACUGCUAAUGAUUUUAUCACAGAGCACAGGUGCCAUUUUGGAUUUUAAACAGAAGCUCUGGAUUAAUUUUCUUUUAAUAUGCUUGAAAUAUUAAACCUGUCACCAUUGCA